rnacentral:lncRNA from 10 species
AAAGAUACUUAAAUUUUAUUCUUUCAGAAUAUAAAGUGUUAAUUGAAGAAGGAUUUAUCAAGCUAAUGAACAAAGAACUGCUAUAAGUGCUGGGGCUAUUUCAGUGAACAAGGACGCGCAGUUCUGUGAUUUUCAAAACAUAAGUAACAGAGGUACAGAUAAUGAACACAUAAAUAAAUUUUCAGAUUGCUUUGCAUCCUAUUAAGUAAAUAUAUACAGCUGUGUAUUGCAAAAUAAGAACAGUAAAGCAUGGAGAACAGGUGAGAGAAGGUCCAAACCAAGAACCAAAGAUUGGGAAGGAGGUAGCCAGUUGGAAUUGUAAGGGUACAUCCUGGGCAGAAGUAACAGUAAGUGCAAUCAGCAAGGUAAGAAUAAGUAUGACCUGUUCAGCAAUAGAAAGGAGACCAGGUUACCAGAGUAAGGUGGAGAGUGGUUGAAGUUGGCCAGAGACAAGUCAUGGAGCCAGUGAGUAGAGUUUGCUGCAUUUUAACAUUCAGGGUUCAUUUCUAUUUUUAUUGGUAAGAGAAUCCAAUUGUCUUCUGGGGGAACCAAUUUCUCCUACAAUCUCAGGCUAGUGCAGAAUCUCAGUGUGGAUCAUUUUCCCUUUCACAGGGAAUACUUGACUCAGGUCUGACUAUACAGCUCAUCACAUACUCUGCUAUAUACCCUUGUGACCCAAUCAGAGGAGAGUCCUGAGGGCAAAACAUGCUGUCUUCUGUAGCAUAAGAAUCAGGUGUUUUAUCAUCAUGUGGAUACCUCAUCAUGACGCAGACAGCAGAGCCAAGAGUUGGUGAGAAUGGAUUCUGUAGACAUCCUCUCUAAGUGCUUAGGUCAGCAUACUCUGAAGCCAGAUCUACCUUUCUUCUUGUUGUGAGAACGCUUGAGAUCUACUCAUAGUAAAUUUCAACUACAGCAUACCAUGGAGAUCCUGAAGGCUGGGUUUCAGACCCUGCUAAUCUCCUUAAGAGUGGCAAAAGUUGAUCCCAUGGUGGUGUGCUUGAGUUUGGUUUCCAAGGUAAUUUUUCAUUAACCAUUCCACUUUUGCAGAGAUAUUAAUGACAUGUUUUUAACAAUUUAAAAGUCU